rnacentral:rRNA from 1 species
UACGAAGGGGGCUAGCGUUGCUCGGAAUCACUGGGCGUAAAGGGUGCGUAGGCGGGUCUUUAAGUCAGGGGUGAAAUCCUGGAGCUCAACUCCAGAACUGCCUUUGAUACUGAAGAUCUUGAGUUCGGGAGAGGUGAGUGGAACUGCGAGUGUAGCGGUGAAAUUCGUAGAUAUUCGCAAGAACACCAGUGGCGAAGGCGGCUCACUGGCCCGAUACUGACGCUGAGGCACGAAAGCGUGGGGAGCAAACAGG